CUGGAAAACUACUCAUUACACCCCUAAUACUGGUUCUGGGACUGGCACUGGGAGCCAUAGCUGUUGUAAUAGGUUUAUUUGUGUUUCCUAUCUAUUGCCUUUGUAAAAAGCAGAGGAAAAGGUCACGGACAGGUAUGCCCUGGUAAGGAUGGACCUUACUCACCUGAACUGAGCUGGUCCUGCAAGGGCUAUAGGCGCUUUGUGCAACAGAGCAAUACAGUGCUGGUGACAGCAUCAGAGCCACCGCCCUGGAAGAAGAAAGGGGCAGCUCCUGCCAUCUUCCCUCCGCCGAAAACACUACUGCAGACCAGAAAGCCUCUUUGCUCUGGUGCACUCUGAACAAGACGGGCCCCCUGACUGCUGCUUUUUAAAUGUUUUGGGUUUUGGUUGUUUUUUUUAAUUAUUACUUUGGAGGGGGUUUUUUUGAGUCUAAAUUUCUGAACUAGACAAUCAAAGUCUGUAUUGUAGCCACAACUCUACUACCGAUUUGGCCUGUGAAGAAAGCAUUUAACUGCUAAUACGUGCUCCGUUUAACUUCAGUGUCAGCCUUUAAGGGGGAAAUGCUUAGAAGUGUUUGGACUCCUGCUGUAUACUGAGCAUACUACUUUUGGUAUUAAAAACUACUUCUGUAAAUAA